rnacentral:rRNA from 1 species
AUGGGGCAGCGGUCGCACAACCAGAAGGCGCUGGCGGAGAUCUACCUGCUCAGCUUCUCCGACGUGCUGCUCACCACGGGGAUAUCCACGUUCGGCUACAUGAGCAGCAGCCUCGCGGGGCUGCGUCCCGCCAUGCUCAUGAUCGCCAAGGACCACAAGGUGCCCGAGACGCCGUGCGUGCGCGCCGUGUCCAUGGAGCCGUGCUUCCACAUGACGCCCGAUGUCAGGUGCCAGGGGAAGGCGGUGAACAAGGAGGAGCUGUCUCGGCACGUCAAGGAGUGCGAGGAUGUACCCAAAGGGAUGAAAUGGAUUAAAGGCAUCAAGUUAGUUGAUUAG